GAUGAACGCUGGCGGCGUGCCUAAUACAUGCAAGUCGAGCGAACGGACGAGAAGCUUUCUCCUCUGAUGUUAGCGGCGGACGGGUGAGUAACACGUGGAUAACCUACCUAUAAGACUGGGAUAACUUCGGGAAACCGUAGCUAAUACCGGAUAAUAUUUUGAACCGCAUGGUUCAAAAGUGAAAGACGGUCUUGCUGUCACUUAUAGAUGGAUCCGCGCUGCAUUAGCUAGUUGGUAAGGUAACGGCUUACCAAGGCAACGAUGCAUAGCCGACCUGAGAGGGUGAUCGGCCACACUGGAACUGAGACACGGUCCAGACUCCUACGGGAGGCAGCAGUGGGGAAUCUUGCGCAAUGGGCGAAAGCCUGACGGAGCAAUGCCGCGUGAGUGAUGAAGGUCUUCGGAUCGUAAAACCCUGUUAUUAGGGAAGAACAGAUGUGGAAGUAACUGUGCACAUCUUGACGGUACCUAAACAGAAAGCCACGGCUAACUACGUG
rnacentral:rRNA from 1 species